rnacentral:rRNA from 1 species
GGGUUGUGAGGUUAAGCGACUAAGCGUACACGGUGGAUGCCCUGGCAGUCAGAGGCGAUGAAGGACGUGCUAAUCUGCGAUAAGCGUCGGUGAGGUGAUAUGAACCGUUAUAACCGGCGAUUUCCGAAUGGGGAAACCCAGUGUGUUUCGACACACUAUCAUUAACUGAAUCCAUAGGUUAAUGAGGCGAACCGGGGGAACUGAAACAUCUAAGUACCCCGAGGAAAAGAAAUCAACCGAGAUUCCCCCAGUAGCGGCGAGCGAACGGGGAGGAGCCCAGAGCCUGAAUCAGUGUGUGUGUUAGUGGAAGCGUCUGGAAAGGCGCGCGAUACAGGGUGACAGCC